rnacentral:rRNA from 1 species
GGUCUGGCUGGCCGGUCCGCCUCACCGCGAGUACUGGUCCGGCUGGACCUUUCCUUCUGGGGAACCUCAUGGCCUUCACUGGCUGUGGGGGGAACCAGGACUUUUACUGUGAAAAAAUUAGAGUGUUCAAAGCAGGCCUUUGCUCGAAUACAUUAGCAUGGAAUAAUAGAAUAGGACUUU